rnacentral:rRNA from 1 species
AGUUUGAUCAUGGCUCAGAUUGAACGCUGGCGGCAUGCCUUACACAUGCAAGUCGAACGGUAACGGGCCUUCGGGUGCCGACGAGUGGCGAACGGGUGAGUAAUGCAUCGGAACGUACCUUUCAGUGGGGAUAACGUAGCGAAAGUUACGCUAAUACCGCAUAUUCUGUGAGCAGGAAAGCAGGGGAUCGCAAGACCUUGCGCUGAUUGAGCGGCCGAUGUCAGAUUAGCUAGUUGGUGAGGUGAAGGCUCACCAAGGCGACGAUCUGUAGCGGGUCUGAGAGGAUGAUCCGCCACACUGGAACUGAGACACGGUCCAGACUCCUACGGGAGGCAGCAGUGGGGAAUUUUGGACAAUGGGGGCAACCCUGAUCCAGCCAUGCCGCGUGAGUGAAGAAGGCCUUCGGGUUGUAAAGCUCUUUCGGCCGGGAAGAAAUCGCAUGGGUUAAUACCCUGUGCGGAUGACGGUACCGGCAUAAGAAGCACCGGCUAACUACGUG